AAUAGAUACCCGGGUAGUCCACGCCGUAAACGAUGAGUGCUAAGUGUUAGGGGGGUUUCCGCCCCUUAGUGCUGCAGCUAACGCAUUAAGCACUCCGCCUGGGGAGUACGGCCGCAAGGCUGAAACUCAAAGGAAUUGACGGGGGCCCGCACAAGCGGUGGAGCAUGUGGUUUAAUUCGAAGCAACGCGAAGAACCUUACCAGGUCUUGACAUCUCCUGACCGCCCUGGAGACAGGGUCUUCCCUUCGGGGACAGGAUGACAGGUGGUGCAUGGUUGUCGUCAGCUCGUGUCGUGAGAUGUUGGGUUAAGUCCCGCAACGAGCGCAACCCUUGUCCUUAGUUGCCAGCAUUCAGUUGGGCACUCUAAGGAGACUGCCGGCUAAAAGUCGGAGGAAGGUGGGGAUGACGUCAAAUCAUCAUGCCCCUUAUGACCUGGGCUACACACGUGCUACAAUGGGCGGUACAGAGGGUCGCGAACCCGCGAGGGGAGCCAAUCCCAAAAACCGCUCUCAGUUCGGAUUGCAGGCUGCAACUCG
rnacentral:rRNA from 1 species